rnacentral:sRNA from 1 species
CCUCCACCUCCUGGGUUCCAGUGAUUCUCCUGUCUCAGCCUCCCGAGUAGGUGGAAUUACAGGCGCACCCCACCCUGCCUGGCUAAUUUUUGUAUUUUUAAUAGAGAUGGGAUUUCACCAUGUUGGCCAGGCUGCUCUUGAACUUCUGACCACCAGUGAACCACCUGCCUCGGCCUCCCAGAGUGCUGGGAUUACAGGCAUGAGCCACCACACCCAGCCUGGUCACAUGUUUAAUAUCAACUUGUCUUAUGAACCUGUUUUGUUCACUGGAACAAUGAGGAAAAACCUGGAUCCCUUUAAUGAGCACACGGAUGAGGAACUGUGGAAUGCCUUACAAGAGGUACAACUUAAAGAAACCAUUGAAGAUCUUCCUGGUAAAAUGGAUACUGAAUUAGCAGAAUCAGGAUCCAAUUUUAGUGUUGGACAAAGACAACUGGUGUGCCUUGCCAGGGCAAUUCUCAGGAAAAAUCAGAUAUUGAUUAUUGAUGAAGCGACGGCAAAUGUGGAUCCAAGAACUGAUGAGUUAAUACAAAAAAAAAUCCGGGAGAAAUUUGCCCACUGCACCGUGCUCACCAUUGCACACAGAUUGAACACCAUUAUUGACAGCGACAAGAUAAUGGU